rnacentral:tRNA from 1 species
GGCGUGAUAGCUCAGUUGGGAGAGCAGCAGACUGAAGUUUCUUGGAUUGAAAAAGCUUCUUUCUGAAGGUCCCGCGUUCAAUCCGCGGUCAUGCCA